GGGAAGGUGGCUCAGUGGUAGAGCGCUUGCCUUGCACGCUCGAGGCCCUGGGUUCGAUUCCUCAGCACCCCA
rfam:Dipodomys ordii contig_24199, whole genome shotgun sequence.